CAGGUUGCCCAGGGAGGUUGUGGAUGCCCCAUCCCUGGAGGCAUUCAAAACCAGGCUGGAUGUGGCUCUGGGCAGCCUGGUCUGGUGGUUGGCAGCAAUGCGUAUGGUGAGGGGGUUGAAACUGAAUGAUCAUUGUGGUCCUUCUCAACCCAGGCCAUUCUGUGAUUCUGUGAACAUGAUCACUGGUAAAGUUAGAUUGCUUUGCAUCAGUUCAAAGCAAGUAUCAUCCUACUUCAACUGGAUAUAAAGAUUGCACAUUUGCUAUUUCACACUAGGCAAGUGCAUUCUACUCAGCUAAGAUCAAAAUAUUAAAUGCCUCUUAAAGUGUUAUUCUGUCUAACAGAAUAGGAGUUAAUUCUCCUAUUUCUACUUCAGCCUUAACGUAUUUAACAUAUUUCUCUUUUUUUUUUAAAUAGGAUUUGAGGUUUAAAGGACCUUAUAUCAGCUGUUCUGAUCUCUUCUGAUGGCAGAGGUAGUCUUAAGAAGUGUUUAGGACUAGCAGAAAGGAACUCUAGCCAUACAAAAGCACUUGAGAUGAGUGGAACUGCUGCUUAUCCUACUCAGAAGGUUUGAAACUCAGUUGAUGAUAGGGACUGUGCUAAACUGCAUCUUACUGGGCUUCUCUUUUUACUGAACACUCUCCAAAAAAAAGGAACAUUCUAUCUGCCCUCUCCAUUUCUCUCCAGGCCUAUUUGUACCUGAAACAGCAGUACUAAUACCUACAACACAGUUGUUUCCCAGAGGACUAAAUUCCUCUUUCCAGGUAUGUUAGCUUAUAAUAACCUGAGAUUAUUUUUUUUCAAAUCAACUGUAAUGCCUCCCCUGUCAAUUUCAUAUGACUUUUCACACUUACUGAAUGUGGCAGAACCUAUCCCAGUCUUGUUUGCUUGUCCGUCAUUGGCCAUGACAUUUAUACAAUUAUCCUCUUCCUCUCAAGCUAGCAGAUCAAUGAUGCUUUGUCCUUUUGUUGGUACUCUGAGAUAGACAGAUAUACAGGUUUACAUAGAAUUAAAGACUAAAGUAACAAAAGAGUUCAGUUAAGUUUAACACAUAAGAGCUUGUCCUCCAUGUAAUCCCCAGUAGCUCAGCAGGCAAGUUUUAUUGCAGUCAUAAUAAAGCUGAACAUGGAGGCUAAAUGUUUUACUCAGAAUUAAAAGUCAUAUUGACAUCAUAGCUGGUAAUAUGUCUCAGAGCAUCUAAAUGGGGUAAAGUUGAUGAAUUACUCAGGUAUUGUAAUUCGUAGCCCUCCUUUCUUUCCAAUGGACCAUGCUAAUCAAUUUCUGGUUCCUAUUUCUUCUUUCUCUCUGCCUGUUGCUUCUUAGGCUUAAAACACAGUAAAUAAAUCACUGCAUUGUACUAGUUUUAAUCUAAAAUGUGGAUAACCAGUAUUUUCAAGGGACCGUCUCUUUCCUUGGACAGAGUCUGUGUUGCCAGAGUUUUCAGAUGGCUUAGCAUCUCCUGGCCACCUUUUGAUCUCAGUACAUCUCAGAAUUUUGUGGACAAAAACAUCUGCUGUGGAUUAGGCAAAAUACAUUUCUGCUCUGGAAAUAGUAGUUUUUGCCUGAGUCAGAUAUUUGUAUUCCCGAUGUCAGUACCUGCUUUCCUCUAUGAAGGCAAAGGCAACAAUUCUUUCCAGGGAUCCGAGAGAAAAGUUCCUGCAUAGAUCCUUUUGCUCUUUCUCCUUCGCAUGCUUAGCUUAUUUGUGUCUGAAGUGGAUGGGAGGAGAACUGUCAGAAUUUAAGUCAAAACUAAUAAGACAUCACAGAACAAAGGAAACCUCUCUUAGGGUAGCACUGACUCCUUUUGGGUCAAAAGAAGGAAAGCCAAGUGGGACGGGUUUCACCACAUCUACUAUCAUCUUGGUCUUUAGGCUUCUAGGAGUAAUAUGGAGAGCAGACACCCAGCCAUCAUGAAGGUCAGGGUUACAACGAGAUGCAUUCACUUCUCAAGUUCCUUGUCUGGCAGCACAGCCAGACUUAUCAAUCCAAACAGCAAGAUCUCAUUCAUAUGCAUUGUUUUUUCCUCCUACAGUAAUAUGCAUGUAUGUGUAUUCACAUGCCCACUCUGUGCCAGAGUAACUGAUGUAAGAACAGAAGUGUGAGGGAGGACUCAUCAAUACUGUGAAAUGAACGUGGAAAGGAACUGCCUGGCUUUUGUGUCUGUUUGGAAUGGUGGGUGGAAUUGGUUUGAGUUGUCAGUGUUUUGUUUUUGUUGGGGAAAUUUUAACUUUCAGCCCAGAUUUCUCUGUGUCUAAGUUGAGCUCUUGUUUCUGAAUUAUGUUAUUGAAGGGGUAAGUGAAAGUUGGUUCCUUGAUAGAUUUAUUAGACAAACCGUUAAUGAUACCUUAUCCACUUUACAGCAUUACCAAUCCCAUUUCCACACUCUUCUGAUUUGAUAAACAAGUUUGUGUUAACAACUCAAACUUUUAGAGAAGGGAGCACAGAGCCUCUAUCAUGCUGGAGUCCUCUUUAGUCUGUGAACUGCAGCAUGUGAUUGUUUUUGUAUGCAGUGUUUUCAGUUUGCUGACAAAGAUGAUGAUGUUUCAGCCUUUGCACGUCUUUCUUGAUUUUUGUCUGUUUAAAAUUUUUCUUUCUUUUCUGGACCAGUAAUCUAAAAUCGUCAGUAAAAGUGAUAUAUUACCUGGGGAUUAUGCCAUUGUUUUGUGUGGAAUUAUUUCUGACAACACCCAAGGGUGAGUAACAAUUAUUUCUGGUGAAAGCCAGUUCUCUGUGUAUUAUAUGACAAGGGCUGACUGCAUCUUCAGGUGCUCCUACAUACAUUCACGCACUUUGUGCAAGUAAACAUGGUCUAUCAUCAUCUACACAUGGAGGAAGUGGUUAAAAAAGAGCAAACCUGAUUGUUCAUUCUUACAAUUUCUAGAUAUUUGUGCUGGAUCAGUGGGAAAGAUACAGUUCAUUUCAUCUGCUGGAAAGAAAUCCUUACUGAUUCAAAUUCAGGAGAUCCUGUUUAAGCAAAAGUCAUGAUCAGACAAUUUCACUGGUGCUGAAAGAAUGUAGCCUUGGAAGACUAAGUAAAUAAGCUUUCCCAUUGUGUUCACAUAUGAUAGAUCCAUAACUAUAUAAUGUAACAAAAAUAUUAGCUUUUAUUAUGUAUCACCAAAAAAAAAGAAAAUCACAAAUCAUUACUGUUGGUGUGCAGAGCACUUCUAAAGAACAAAUUUAAUUCCCAGAGUAGUGUUUGUGGUGUAUGUGAAGUUGUAUUAAGUAAAUAAAGUAAAGCAAGGUAAAUCUAGACCUUAAAAAUAAACCUAAACAGAGUAACAGAUCCUUUUUUCCACUUCACUCAUUCAUUAAUUAGUUGCAGUAUUUCUUCCUGAUUUUUCGGAGGCAUUCAGAGCUGAAGCUGAUUAGUAAACCAAAUCCUGAGGUAACAAGGAAAGGAGAAAGUGAGUACCAGUAGAGGGACCCAGAGAGUUGUCGACAAGUUCAUUAAGGAAUAUUGGUAACACAUUUUCUUUUUUUGCUUUAUUUAUUUAUUUCCACAAUAAAACUUUAAAUAAGAAAAAGUUAAUCACUAUAUUAUUUAUAAACAGUUAUGAAAACGUCCCAGUUUGCAGUAGGCCUACUACAGUACUUCUUGCCAGUACUGUUGAAUGUUUGUAGGGCAUUGUUUCCAAUCAGCAGAAAACUUCACUAGAGUAAGAACCACUAUUUUUGUUACUUGGUUACUUGGUUUAAUGUAGUAGGGCACUAAUGCCUUUUGUGUGCCAUUCAGGCAAAAAUUAAAAACAGUGCAAAACCUCAGUGAUUUGUAAUAUUAUUCAGGACUUGCUAAUGUGACUCUGGAGGCUUGCCAGUGUGAUUCCCUUCUACAAGAGUCUAAGGAGGAUCUAGGAAACUACAGACCCAUCAGCCUGACAUUGAUGCCAGGAAAGGCUGUGGAAUGGAUCAUCUUGAGUGAGAUCACAUGGCAUUUGCUGGACAACCGGCAAAUCAGUUCUGGCAUGGGUUCAAGAAAGGAAGGACCUGCUUGAUCUGCCUGAUCUCCUUCCAUGCAUUGUUAGCACUUCAGCAAAUUCUCAGCAGAUGGCCUGAUCCCUCUCCCAAGGGAGGUCUGGAUAUCUCCAAUGUUAUUACAUGAUAGUUGCUUGCUUACUUGGAAAAGAAGCAUGAAUUUCUUGUGCAGUGCUGUAUGCAGGAGACCUCCAGCUCCUAAAAAGAACAUAAAGAAGUUGAUGGCUGAGGAGGAAAAAACAUUGGAGAUCAUCCCUAAGAUUCUGGAGAAGUUAGAGAAGGCCUGCAUGAACUUUGCGCAUUUCUCAGGAAGUUGAAAGAGAUGAAGAAAGAAGCGGAGGUUGAAGUUAUUGUCACAGUACCCCAGACUCUUGACAGAGUCAAAAAAAAUAAAUAAAUAAGUGCCUGCAUCCAAAAAGACAGCUGUGAUGGAAGACAGUUACACAUCCCAGAUGGAAUACAAGUCUACAUUAUUUUUUGCAGCUGGACAAAAGCUGAAUAUUCAAAGAAACAUGAAGAAAUUGUGUCAAAUCCUGACAAGGUUGGACUGUUACAAAUCCUGAUAGAAACAAAACCAUUGAAAAUGACCAAAAAACUGCUAGAUGCAGUGUUUGAAAUGGGCCUUCUAAGGAAAAUGCCAAACUUCAGCUGGAAGUUCAAUGGGCAAGUGUGGAAGCAAGACAAUAAGUAUGAGGUCAUUGCAUCUGUUGAUGGAUUGUCCCACACUUAGGAUAUCCAGUCCUGUGAACUUCAGAACUCAAUGCUGAAACUGGAGUUAUAGCACAGAAAGCUCCAUUCUUCAUUGAUUGCAGUCCUCUCCCCUUUCUAAGAGGUUCCAGAUCAAUUCAUCAACAAGUACACAAAUGAAAAAUGGAAAUUCCUGUCUGGAGCGUGCACUGAUUUUGAAAUAUAUCACUCUGAAAGAGAUAAGGAAUUAACAGGUGAUUGAAAGGUCUGAAGCACAACAGGAAUCAUGAAGGGAACAGAGCAGAGUUUAUCAUAAUGUUGAUGAGCCAAGUGACUCAGAAACUUGUAUGAGUGUUUCUGUGUAAGACAGUGAACCUAACAACUACAACAGCAGCACCAGUGCAACUGGGAAGGUAUGUAUGGUUGGUCCAAGGAAGGAAAAUGAACAAUAGCAUCCUUUGCUCUGUUCUUCACUGUAGAGCAGUAGUGCUGCUUUGUUAUAACAGCCAUGAAACUGAUCUGAGAUAAUGCAGAUCUGAAGUCUAUUGUUUAAUAUGGGAUAAGCCAUUAGUCUGUGCUUUGUGUUGGUAUUAUGAAGAUAAUGAUUAAGGAUGUCCCUUUGCUGUAGAAAAUGUUAGAAGCAUAAAGCAGUAAGUCUUCCAUCUUAGUCCUCGUACAUACCACCUAAAGCAGCCUAGUUAAGUUUGGUGUUUUUAUUUUAACCAGGAUUAUCAUAAUGAAUUCUUGUUCUUUAAAGUGACCGAUGGGAUGUUUGAAUGCUGAGGACCAGCAGCACAACACGAGACUCUUGCAAUAUUAAAUAUUUAAUAUCAUGUUUAUUUCUUUAAUUAAUUUUGCAGUAGCAUUAUUGAUGCUGUAAAUUUCUACCUAGGAUCUCUAUAGAAAGACAUAAGGCUGCCAGGAGGGGAAGGCUGGCAAAAUAUCUUUGUGCUCUCAUCAUAGGCUGGAGAAGAAUUUCAAAGUUCUUCCUCACAGAGUGUGGAUUUUAGUGGCUUUUAGUAUCUGUGAUAACUUCUGUUAAUUGUGGGCAAGGUUUGAGUAUGCCCAGAUGCCUUCUGUGAGAAAUGUAUCAUUUAAGACAAAGUGAUUGGAAAGAGGAAACAAUCAUAUUAGCAUAUCGUUUACAGGUUCAACUACAACAGAAUAGCCUUGAGCUGCUAUCCCUAUAGUGGAAAUACACCCAUAAAGGAUAAAAACUACAUAAGAACAGGCUCUGUUUAUCCCCAUUUCUUCCCCUGAUGUGCAGUUUAUCAAGCAAAGAUAAUAGCUUUCAUCCUAGGGGAUUUUUGACUGAGGAUAAGCAUGUGGACACAUCAGAAAAGGACUGAUCUGAUCCUUCCUAGUCUUCUACAAUCUCAGCCUUACUAAGUUUCAGCUUUAAUUCUUUGCUUUUUCAAAUUUUUCCUUCCUAGUCUCCUGUGAAGAUGCUUAUAUGAUUUCAUGUUUGUUAACGUAUUUUCUCAACCUGUAGAUUCACAUUAAUUCCUGCAAGGUUGACUUCUCACCACCCUCCCUUCUCUCUCACCCAGUCUCAGAUUUUCAGAGUAAUUAAUAAAUGCUAAUUUAUUGUAUGCUAAUACAUACCAUUCAUUACAUGCCAUGCAGCUUUUCUAGGCAAAUAUGUAGAUCCUGUUCACAGAAUUCAUUCUAUCUAUAAAUCACAGAACACUGUGCUCGAUUAGGACUUGGAAAUCCUGAUUUCUUUGUCAUCUUUGAGCAGGAAAUUCUGAGAUCCAGGGACAGAGUCAAAGAAGGUGUUUGUUGCAAUGUGUGUCAUUUCGUGCCUCAACCUUCUUGUCAGAUUAUAGCCAUGAAAGGCAUCUGGGUAAUGUAGUGAGAAGCAUACUCAUCAGUGGUCUAAAAGAGGAGCAUGAAGAUAGGCACGUAUUCAGCCAGGGGGACAGAGGACAAAGCAAGAGUUGACACUGCAGGUAGCUAAGCUGUCUCCUUACUGCUGUUAACACUUGCAGAGUCUUUGCUUCAUCAGGUCCCAUCAGCUGGGGCUGUACCAUUUUUAGGCUUAUCUGUCUGCGAGCAAAACCUUUCUGCUCCGUUGUUAGCCAAGGGGAGAAAAUUGAACAGUCAUACUGAUUGAUUUAAAGUGACAAAACACGGGUUUCUAUGUUUAUAAAUCUGUGGUUGAGAAUGUUGGUCUUAACCUUUACUUGAAAUGUUGUUCUGAGCAACAAGAAAAACACCUUUCCUGAAAUUAUACAUGAAGUAUGUAAAUAUAUGUAUUACUCAGCUCUUGGCAGCCAGAUGGCGCCAGAUGGACUGUCAGAAUCAUCUGCAGCAUGGAAAUGAGCCUCUUUCUGUUCUCCAAAUAAAGGCGAGUUGGAUGGAUACCACUGCCAAGACAGUGGGACAAAUGAAGCAGUAAGGAUGCUGUGGCUGUGGCAUCAAAUAUAUAGAACCUGUGUGCAGUAUAAAUGCAUCCACAGCAAAGCUUUGGUACAGGGAAUGAUUUUCCUCCUGUCAGAAAUACUGACUGCAUUUUUAUGACUAUUUCAGCAGAUUGUCCUUUGCAAACAUAUACCUGACAAAUAUUUAGAAACUUGGUUAUUUUUCUUUAUUGUGCACAGGACAUCAUUAUCAUUGUUCCAUACAGCUCUAACAACUGACAGAAUGUUUUGUUUGCAAGCAGUAAACUUUGAUUCCAUGAUCUUUGUUGUGAUUAUGGCUUAUUCAAAUGUGGUCUUAGGAAAGAAUAGCACAGAGUGUUUCCUCUUUUGCCUUCAAAGCUUAAAAUCUGCCUGGAAAUAAAUCUCAAGGACCUUGAGAAUUGGGGAGCAUUGUGCAAUUGCUAUUUCUCAGAGCUCCCUCCUUUUCUGCUGAGCUGAACACCUGAUGGAAAUCAGCCAGGUUCUUGUUUAAGAAACAGAACUGAAUUGCCUCAAUCAAAACACAUGGAAGAUUUUUCAUGUCCUUCAAGUUUUUCAUGAAAUAUGGGAUUAUUACAUUAAAAAACAAAAUAAAAAUCAUAAAGUAUUCCAAGGGGCCCAACUCUGGACCACCUUGCAUACACAGGAAAAAUGGCAGGGUCUAUUUGCAGCUGCAGCUUUCAAUUGUUUUCUUUUUGGAUUCUCCUGUUACUGAAGCCUUUAGCUGCACACAGUGUAACUAUGAAGAAUGAGCAUAUUGAAAGCGUCAAGGUACCUUUUAAGGCAAAGGCAUUGUGUAAAGUCAUACGUUUCUGAGAUGGUGCUGAGGUGGCAGAGAAAGAGGUGAUGGAGAAAACCAGUGACUGUUUUACAAGCAAACACUGCAAGAGAAGACAAUAGAUCUGUUAAUGCGGAAUCUCAGAAAAUAACUGUCUCAGCUUUGGACAGUCUUUACCUCAGCAUUGUUGGUAGGGCUUCAUAUUAAUCAUUUUAUAGCAGGCUGGUCACUGGUAGACAUGUUGGGCUGCAAACUCUCUAAUUCAGAUUUUCUUCUUUAGAAACUGUUUUGUGCUUGGACUAAAACCAGGACCAAAGAAAUAGCAAAUCCUUUCACUACCAGUGUUUGCAGACUCAGAAAUGUCUCAACAUGGGCUGGCCAUGAAAGAGGACUGACUAGCAUUCUCUUCUCGUGUCAGUUAUAUAAGCUUAGUAGAAUAUGGCAAAUGAAAUGUCUUUCUCUGGAAAAUAUUGUGGAGGAGGAGAGAAGAUAAUUUAAAAGGGAAUACUUAAAAACAUUUUGUUUUGCAGCCAAGAAAGAAAAUACGUCAGCCAAAGCCUAAGUUAGUUAGAAAACACUGCUGAACUAUGUUCUGAGACUUACAGUGUGGGUACCUCUUGCGCUUGUUUUUCCUUUAUGGACAGGGAUCCCAGAGAACCUGUGCCUCCUGAUAUUUGUAGCUCUUUUUCCCAGGGUCAGAGUGUAUCACAAAAGACAGUGUAGUCCGUGUGUCUGGCCUGGUGAGUCAUUUCAGAAGUAAAAUUUCCAAACUGAAGUAAUAUAUGUCAGUUCUCGCCUAAAGUGUUGCAAUUUUCCAUUUUUAUCUAAACUUCCUAUGGAUUAAGGUAAGUGUUUCUGUGCAGCUCUGUAGCAUACUGCAGAAAGAGCUCCUUUUUGGAAUAAAUGCAAGCAUUUAAAUGUUUCAACCUUUAAAGUGAUAAAGGGAAGUAGCUGGCAAAGUAAGAGGCUGUUAAAGAAAGACUGCAGCCACGAAUCAAGUAACCAUGCAGGUUAUCCUUCUUGUUGUUGGUAUAGAUGUAUACAUAUGCACACAGACUCACACAACUUGAAAUCCAUGGAUUCCAUUGCUAAACUGAUUUUUCUGUGUGUGGAGUCUUUUGAACAGGUGUCUCAGCCUCAAGAGUUAGAUGUUAGGAAAGAAGCUGUCACCAUCACCAGGAACUCCUCAGCCCAGGAUGGAUGUUGCCCAGUGCAAGGCUAUGUCAUGGAAAGAAGGAAAAAGAAGUUAGCAAUCUCUGAGUCCUAGGCAACAAAUAUACAGUUCAAGAGCCUGCAGAAGUCCUGAAGGUCCUCUACAUGGUGGAUUUUUCCAGCUCCAGUAUUUCCUUAGCCUGGCAGGAACCAAACAAGGAAGAUGUGUCAUCAUGAUGCAUGCUAGAAUGUAUAAGUGAAGGACACCAAGGACUGGACAAAGUGCACCAAGAUCCCUAUCUCUAGUACCACUUAACACCGCAGGAAGUUUGCAGAACAGGCAAACUGCAAGUGAAGAUAGUGUGGGAAAAGCAAUGGAGUUUGGAAGCAAUGGAACAGGAAGGAAUUCUAGAAAUACCACCUUCAGGUUUGACCUGACUGUGAGGCUGAAGAGCCACAUGGUGGUUUGUGCUGGAACAGCACAGUGCAUUCACACAUCUUUGUCAAUACAAACUAGCUUGCUCCUUAGAGAACUUUUCAUUACUAUGAUCUGCUGGGGGCGAGGAGGUUAAGGAUCUUUGCAUUGUAUUUUGUACAUCAUCUUUUCAGAGUGCUUUUUAAGAUUAGCAGCUGUAUUAUUUCAUCAGAAAGGAAUUACAUACAGCAAACUGCUAAUCAGGUUCCUCAAGCUAGAAGAAAUCAAGGAGAAAGUACUUUAACUAAACACAUGAGGACUCUGGAAGGGAGAAGCUGAAGUGAAAAAAUUUUGUCUCAUAACAGAGGGAAGGCUCCAAACAGGAGAAAUCAAUACUUAAAUGUGCGAAUUAAUUCUUAGAUCUCCUCUGAUCAACCACUAAUCUCAGCUGGCUUGAGAAAGUCCCAGAAACUGUGACACUAAAAUAUAAUUACAGCUGAAAUGAAGAAGAGAACUAGCAGACGCAUUAUGAUAUCCUGAAACAUGAUAUCAGUACUGCCACAUAGUUCACACAGCCACAGAAAAAUCCACAGCAAUAAGUACGCCGUCACAGGCCUGCUUCCAGGGAGGAAAUACUUGUUCUGAGUCACUGCCUGCAAUGACACUGGGGACAUUGACCCUUUGGAUUCAGAGAAGCCAUGGUACACCUCCAAAGAGAAAGAAAUUCCCACCCACUGAGCUUUGAAUCAGGUUGCAACACAGCAGUAGUAUUCCAGUUAGCUCAGACUGGUCACAUGCAACUCAGCAUUUACAGGUAUGUCGGGUGAUGUUUUACUAAUAGUAAUGCACAAGCCACACAUCGUUUCCCCAUGUCAUGAUAUUCAAACUUGCAGCUGGCAGACUGGUCUUAAUACAGCCAUGCUUGGAAACUGCUGUGUCCUCUGAGUUUCAGCAGCUUUUAUUAUGCUCACUCAACUUAUGAUUAACCAGGGAUCAAGGUUAAAUAUUGGAGAGCAAGAAAUCUCCAUCCUUUUGUCUGACAUGAAACUCUUUUCCCCAUUUUUCCUUCUAGAGAAAGGGCCCUUGUGCCUCUGGAUCUGUUGUUAUUCUUUACAGGGAAUAAGAGAGAGACACUGCCAGACACAGCUUGAAAUGAAAUUGAUACAGCACCAAUAAUGAUGAACUAUAUUUGGAAAGGUCUUUUAGGGUUAUUUUUGUCUGUGAUCGCUGCUUCUGGACUGCCUGCUGGCAACUGCUGAGGCCCUGCUCUGAAAGGUUCAGUCUCUGCCAGUGGGGAAGUAGCUCAGUGUGGGUCAGUGGAGGGAAAGGAUGUGUGGAUGUUGUGUCUCCUGCUCUGAUUUUCAAGUACUCAUUUGUCUUUUUGUGUAGGAUAGAUAUGACACUUCUUUCACUGAGGCCAGCCACUACCCACCUAAAACACCAAAAGCAGUGCUUUGCUCUUUUUUAGGAUGCUCUGGUAUUACUGGGUCUUGUGCUUCCCAGGUUCACUGAUGCACUCCUCCCUGAAGCCACAGCUUCAAGCCACAUCCAACAGCUGGAGGACAGUUUCCUAGUUCCCAAAAACAGCGAAAUCUCUCUCUGGUCUGGCAUCACUAUCAGCGAAGCUGAACAAGGAGAACUUUGGCAGUGCUGUUCACUAGUGCUUAGGAAAGACAGGCAGACUGGGGGGGCAAAAGCAGCUUUCUAUACCUUUGGAGAUCUGUUUGCUGGAAAGGACGAACCUUCUGCCUUCUUACACAAACCUUGUUGUGGUAAAAACUGUUACAAUAGGAACACUCCUCUUCAAAGCUAUGCAAAGCAACCUGUUUGUAAGCAGUGGUAGCUAAAGGAACAAGGCUUGCAAAAGCACUGUGUGGGUGAGGUACUAAUUUAUAUUUGGAUGUUUUAAUGGCCCCUUGAGUGGGGAGUGGGGAAGAUGAUAUAUCAGAUGCUGUAAUAUCUUAUUUCCAGAGCAUCCUGAGACUCCUCCUUGACUUACCUAGGCAGACCCUUGGGAGACCUGUUAGGGGCUUUUGCAGCUGAGUGAGGUGGGGAAAGCAGAUAUCAGAAUAAAACAUACUGAAAAACUGUAUUCAGAACAUGAGGAUUUCACUUAGAAUUUAACUUAAUUGCUGGUUUAUUUUAGAACUGCAGAACUAUAUUCUUACUGAUUUGUGCUUUGGAAGAGUGGUAGUUAUUGCCUGGGGCUGGCUGCUGUCGGCUGGAGGACAGCAUUACCUGCUGUGGUUAAUCUAGCUGUGAAGGCACUUGGUUAGACUAGGAGCUCCUUCAGACCUCAAGUACAUUCUUAGGGAUGUCAGUGGCCUUUAUGUAGUGACAGGUGGCCCAAAAGGGAAGGGAGUAAGGAAUGAUUUAAGAGAUGUCCAAAUGAGUUCCAGACACCUGUGCUGGAAUCUCUGCUGAUGAUUUCUCUGCUGAUUCCACAGGAGCUAAACCUCUGUUAGUCUUCUCUCUUAUGUAGACUUUUCCAUCUCUCUUCAUUCUUCUGUUCAGCCGUAUUUUCAGCUUUAGCUGAAAUAGUGCAUUGCUCCUCCCCUGUGACACAGAGCAGCAGCUUCUUACAGCUCUGAAGGGAUGAAUCUCGUUUUCUGUGGCACAGCGCUAAAGUCACAAUGCCUAUUAGACAAAGUGAUUUUUUCAGAACAGUGUUGAACUGAACAAAGAGAAAUAAGAAUGAAAAUGAGAUUUCCCAGAACUUAAAGUAUCACUUCCUAUGAAAGUUGUAAUCAGUUGUUUUUGAAAGAUGUUACCAGUUGUUAAGGAAAGCUUUUAAACAGCUUUAUGAAGCCACAUAGCUAAUGCUUUGUGAGGCUUCCACUCAAAACGUGGGGUUGGUUUUGGUGAUUGCAGCACUUCUCACUUUCUCUUUUCUUAAGAAAUACAUGAUAAAACCCUCUUGGAUACAGUGACAGAAAGUUUGCAGAAGUCUCAGUAUGGGAUGUAAUUAGUAGAACCUACUCUGCUCGGUCCAACAUACAGAACAGUGUUGCUGUGGCUGCAUCAUUUGGUUUUGCUUGUGUGGCUCAAAAUGCAAGUGUGUAUUAAAACCUUGAAAUUCCAAAAAGUAAAUACAAUCUGCAGCUUUGCAAAUGAGGGAGUCACCAUGUGAAAGAGCUGGUUGCAUAAGGCAAACCCAAGAUCCAGAAUGGUCCACUAACCACACGGUUGGUGGGCAACACUAAGGAAUUAGAACAUGUCUGAGCCACUGAAGGAUUGACAUAGUCAGAUAAAUUUAUACAUAUGUUACUGUUGGUUCUUUUAUUUUAGAGUGAUUUUUUUUUUUCCUGGAGCUUUUCUGGUAUAAAAGCACAAUGUGGCCAGCCACACACACAUGCUUAGUCCAAGAAUAUUUUGCCAUCUUUGUUCCACCUGGAACAAGGAAGGAAGUGUGCUGGUACAGGAUGCUCCUCCCAUGGAGCUUGUAAGUUUUUUAAUCGAAUUAUAAGAGACAAAAACAUAGGAAAGAAACACCUGGUUUUCCUUUGGAAUGCUUUGAAACUUGGUAGUGGUUCUGCCUAGUACUGAUUCAUUUUCAGAUCAGGAAUCACUGCACUCAAAAGGGGAGAGUGGAAGGAUCUAUGUUAAGCCUGCAAGCAGAUCCAUUUAAUGGACUGGGAGCACUUGCUCUGCAUUUCUACGCUAUAGAUCCUUGAAACCUGUUCCACUGGUGACAGAUGGUCUGGUUCAGGAUUAAUGAAACCAAAUAUCUGUGCCACUGCAUCAAACACAGCUGAGGAAACUGGCAUCAGAUCCUCAAUCAGAAAAAGAUGUCCGUGCUAACCUAUUUCUCCCCUGGAAAUUUUUACUUAAGAGAGGAGAAAAAUGAGAAUUGUCAUUUGUGUGGGACUUCUGGGUAACCUCAGUGAGCAACCUUCUCAGAUAAUCAUUUGCAUCAAGCUGCCUUCUCCCUGGAAGUGUGGACAAAUGACUGUUGUAAGUGGGACUGACUGUUGCAGCAAGGAGCCAGUGUCCUUCAGGGCUCUGCACCCUGGGACACUUGGGAUGUGUUGUAACACCAGCCAGUUGCCAUCAGCACAAUGGUGCUUAGUUCAUUUGUGCUGUAUGUGCUCUGUGGGGUGCCUGUGGGUGUAUUUCAGGGGUUCUCCAGAUGGGAAUACUAUAUCAGGCUGCAACAGCGCCUUUCUGCUUCAGUGCAGCUCUGGGUAGCUCCAGGGCAGAGCCACACCACUGAGGGACAUAAGUGGCACAGCAUUGCCUGCUACAGAGCUUCAGUAGGCUGCUGUCACAGAAACAGAAAAUGAGCAAAGAGAUGCUACAUCUGCACAAUAAAUAUACCCAGUAAAUUAAUAUUUUUAAUUGUUGUUACACACAGAAGAAAUGAGAAAAAAAAAAAAUACAUUCCAAACAAAGAAUUAAAACAGUAAAAUCAGCAUAAAAAUAUGUUAAGAAAAGAUCCCAGUUCAAGUAGCCGUACUGCCUGUGGUGACCUUUACAAUCAUGGUAAAGGAAGUAAGUGCUGGAGACUUUCACACAUGGCAAAAUGCUGACUCCCUGGGGAGAGCAGCUGCUUCGGUCACAUCUUUCUGCACACUGUCUGGAACACAUGGGAGAGGGGCCAGGGUGAGAGGCUUACAUGGUACGAAACAUGGACUUAGUAUUCAGGAUAAAGUAUUCAGUUCCUGUUUUAGUUUUUUGUUUGUUUGUUGUUGUUCUGUUGGUGGUGGUUGAUUGGGUUUGUUUCUUUGUUUUCAGAUUUAUUAAAAAUAGCUCCUGCUGGCCUGGCCCUGCCCAUGUAGUAGGUGUGGAGCAAGAUGUCCCUUCUGGACUGGGAACAAGAUUUGGUCCAGCAUGAGCCUACAUGAGUGAUGUCUAAGUCCAUGUAUCUAUACUGACUUGGUGUUCCCAUGCAGUGGGCUGGAUUUGAUUUCUUGAUUUUUGGCUGCCAGGAAAAGAUUUGUUCUAUUUUCUGAUGUAGUCUGUCCCCAAAUGGGACCAAUCAUUGUUCCCACUGCAGUCAUGGCAGCUCGGUCCCUGCAUCCCUCUCGCAUGAGACUGACUGUGGGAGUCUGCAGCGGGCCUUGUGCUUCAGCCUUCCUUUUGAGCCUCAUACCACUCCAGUAGCUCAUCCUACAGCAGCAUAGUGUCACCACAAAAAACAGUACAAGCCACAGAAAUUUUGGCAUUCCUGCCAACUGGCCACCUUUUAUAAUUUGUGAUCUAUCUAGAGUUGUAUAGUUUUAUUUUUUACAAUAAAAGCAAAAAUAAAAUAACAUUAAGAAAAUUUCCUCCAAACUAAGAAAACUAAAAUUUAUCAUACAUUGUAAAGAAACAAUGAAAAUUUGCAUUGUGUUUGCUUCUGAGUUCAUAUUAAGAUAAGAUUUUACUGCAGCUGCUUCAAAAUUAUGGUCCAUUUCGCAUGUAGACAGUUCACAUUCCUUGGUAACUUCUCACUUUCAUUUGUUAUACAGCAGCUAGUGCUACCAGAUCCAAGUCGUUUCUAGCUGUAGUCCAGAUCUGAAUCGAGUGAACUGUGGCAUUUUUAUAGUCACUGAGUACAUGGUGAUGGUUUAGAGCUGUAUUUCUAGAUGUAUUUUUGUUCUGGGCCCUCGGAUUGAUGGUACAACUACUUCCUUCACCAUAGAACCUGCAACUACUUAGUUUCAGGUUAAAAGGAAAUAAUUAAAGAAGGAUGUAUCGACCUUAUUGAUUCUAUCGAGGCCUUCCCUCUCUGCUGAUAUUAAAGCCAGUAAACUUAGAAUUAAACAUCCCGUUUUAAGUUGUCUCCUGAAACCUAGCUGACCUUCAGCAGGAUGAAUGGUGAACAGAAUGACUUUGUUUUCUGUUCCAAUGUUUUCAACAGCCAUCGCAGUCUGUAAGAGCACUGUGUUUUGGCUGGAUUCGGUUCAUUCUAACUAACAGAUCAGAAUGAGACUAGACUGCAAAAUUUGGAUGCACGGUUCACAUCUAAGAAUUUGGUUGAGGCUUUUAGAUAAACUAAGAACUGUUUGCAAAAUGGAGAUUAGUGUUCAGACUUUUAAGCUAAAACCUCCACAGAGUUCAAGUGUAGCUGAGCCUAUCCUGUUAGACAGUAUGAAUAAAUAUGUUUCUUUUGCUUUCAGUCUAAUGCAAAUCAAAAAGGCAGUAACACAUUCCAUGCUUCUGCAGAUGCCUAGAAGUAUUUUUAUCACUACAGUACAUUAACAUUUGAGACAUACAUAUAGCACUUUACAUCUUCUGAGUGCUGUGUAAGCAUUAAUCCUUACAGCAUCUUUGUGAGGUAGGUAAGUGCUAAUACCACUGUUUUCAGAAUGGGAUGAGAACAGACACACAGGUCCUGGUCCUGGUUGUCAUAACCUGGCAGAGCGCUGACCCUCCUACACUUGUGCCUACUUACAUCAGAUGAGGAUCUGGCUGCAAAAAAAUAAACGUGACUUCCCCAAGGCCGCAAAAGGAACAAGUAUGGAUAAAAGGCAGGAGAAGUACCUGGGCAGAACAUGAUUAUGCUGCUGAGUAAAAGAGUUCAUCUGUAUACAGAACCCAAGCAGUGAGAACAAGGCACCUGCCACUAAGCUUUGCAUUUGCUUUUUGCAUUGAUCUGCUUCUUCCAGAUCAGCUCCCAACAUUAGCACUGCAGCAAGAUGAAAACUUAGAGGUGUCAGUGUCAAACUAUGGCACAAGAAAACUUAGAAGAAUCACUAAAUAGAAUCUGCAAUUUGUCUUGGGAGUUCUAAAUACAUGUGUAGAAAUAUAUCUAUUAUCUGCAUGAUAACAGCAUGCAUGUUUUGGCAGUCAUUUAAAAGCCAUGUUAAAGUAAUUCUUAAAACAAUUGACUGAUUAUUGCCUUACAGUUGCCUCGGUAUGAAGGAGUAAGAAGCCAACUAUGAAGUGUGAAUAUGUUCGCAGAAGAAGAGUAAAGCUGUUCAUAUCCUCUGGCUUUGUUCUUCUCAACCUGCCAUUUCUAUGUUAGCUUUAUCCUGUUGACAUCAGCCCAAUACAUUGCUAGCAUUUAAAAACCCUUUCCAAUAGGAAUGCUUCUCCAGCUUCAGUGGGAGUUCUGUAUGAGCAUGGACAAGGAGAAUCUACCACCAGGAAGAGAAGUUCAGCUAAAAUAUAUUUUCUAUAUAUCCAAUUAAAGACCUAAGGAUAAGUAUGAACUAAUACAAGAGAACAAGAGUAGUUGUACUGUGUGCAUAGCCUCAAGUGACCUUAGAUGGGAAGUGCAGAGGGACCUUUGAGUACAGUAUUGUGAAAGAAAUGCUGCUGAAUUUAACAGGCGCUGGAGCUGGUAGUAUUGGUGCCACCAGGCAUGCUGCACCACUGGGAUGCUUCAUUCCCUCUGCAGUGUCCCUGGGCUGAAGAGUGUUCCUCAAACACUGCACUCCUGAUAAGAAUGGCUCAUUGCCAUUUUACAAUGCAAAGAGACUAUAAGAAGAUACACAAAUGACUGGCAUUGUCAAAGACAAUCAUGUUCUCCCCUCUUUUUGUUUGCUCCCUUUCAUAAUGAAGACUGCCCUUGCUUGGGUUGAGAGAAGAGUUUUAAUCCCAAGAAAAGGUAUUUAGCAGAAUGCAAGCAAUUGCUUAGUGUUUCUCAGGGUUUAUGAAACUCUGAAAACUGUGUCAAAUAAGUGUCUUCACCAGCUGGUCCCUUCCAAGCAGGAAAAACACCCUCCAGGAAAAUGGUCAGAUUCAAGUAAUAAGGAUGAAAAGUAGAGAAUGCAAAGCAGGAGAGAGAUUUUGGAGAUUAAGAGCUCUUACUGGCAACCACUGAGCCAGGCAGGACUCUUCUGGACUCUGUAAGCUGAGGGCUCUGCCUCAUGUUCCUGGGCAAGCCAAUGCUGUUGCUUCACUGGCUGCAGCCCAGCCAGCUGCUGACGAUAAAGGGACAACAGCCCACUUGGGUGACAUGUGUUUCUGCUGUCCUAAUUAAAGCCACCCACAGACCUCUGUAUCCAGAAACUGCACUUCUGACAGCCAGAAGAAGAGAGAACAGGUCUCCAAUUUACACUUAAAAGAUCCUUUUCUGCAAGUGUACAGGGCCUGAAAGUAGAGGAUGGUGAAGAACGCCAAGAAGAAAAAGCAUGCAGAAAUGCAAAUCAGCUGUCUUCAGUAAACUGAAGAUUGCUCAUUUCUAAACAGAAAGAAAGAUAAUGGUUCAGAUUGAAAUUCUAACUUUUAAAUCAAAGAAUCACAAAAUGGCUGAGGUUGGAAGAGACCUCUUGAGGUCAUCUGGGAAGCUCAGAGUGCAGGGAGUUUCUCUGAAGAACUGCCAGAAUAAAGAUUGAGUGUACUGAGCUGACCCAGACUGAAACAUGCUCUUAUGUUCUGGGAGAAUGGUGGGGUUCAUCCCAAAUGCUUACAUUUCCUCUUAGCUGGGUCAGUCUUUUACAGAAAGAGAUUUGCAAACAGUUAAGCUUAGUAACAGCAGCUGACAUCUGCAAAGAACUACACUGCAGGGUUCAAGCUGCGGCCAGGAGAUAAGCAAUGCUGAUGAAUGAAGAUGUUUUAUGGCUCUAAAUUCCCUUAGCAGUUUACUCCAGGCAGACCCCAGCGCACUGGUGAAUGAAUACUGACAGUAUUACACAACAGCAUUAAAAGGAAGAGAUUAAACCAGACUGUGCUACUUACAAUGCUUUCCCUCUCUACAACGCAGCUGACCUUUCUGAUCUCUCUGAAAAGCAGUAGAUGAUUCCAUGGGGUCAGGAUGGUUAACCUAAUUUUUGUAAUACUGGUUGCAUUGGUGUUGAUGCACCAACUGUGGAGAGGCAAUGCCUGUUCUAUGACUAGUCCCAACACAGAAGGCUGGAAAGGAACAGGAGAGUGACUUAACACCUCUCAACACCAACAGAAAAACUAAGGAUGUUUCCUUAGCUGACUCCUGACCCCAGCUGCCCUCAUUGGAAAGAGGAAUUCCUGCUAUGCUGAUGGUGCCAGGGACACAGUGCCAAGCUUUCUCCUGGAAUGGUCUGGGCAUGCAAGGUAUGGUGACCGUGGUGGCUUUCAACCCUGGCGAGGACAAUCUGGAAGGCUGCCCCUCCUGUUCACUCUGUCAUACAAAAACGUGCAAGGGUUUAUUAGGAACUGCAUGGAUUUGGGUCAGGUGCAGUCUAUUUUGGUCAUCCCUUUUUGGACACAGGAUGAAGAUGUUCAGGAACCCUUAGCAACUUCCUUUGCACCUGGAUGAGCUUGUUGUGUCUUCAAAACAACUAGGAGAGCAUCUUCACCCAUAGUAACAACCUUAGAAUGGACAGAGGGAAAGAGCACAUUCAAGAGAGAUUCAAAUAGAAAUGUAGCUUGCUGUCAGAUGUCCUAAAUAAGAGGAGAAAAUACACGCAUGAUCACAAAUCAGUCUGGUAUUAAAAAACAAAUAACAAAUAAAAAAACAACAGGGCAACCUCUUUAUCAUCUUUUAAGAGAGUGAAGUCAGAAGUAAUCUUGCUUCAGCAGAUGGGCAGAAAAACCAACUAAAGAAUUUGGGUCAGAAUUAAAUAGGCAUUCCCACAUUCUCGCUGCAUCCAUGUGAGUUCAAGAAGGAAGCGGCAGGCACUUUGAACACAGAGAACUGAGCUUUUCAGGAUGCUCUGCUAAAAAGGGGUUUCCAAACACAAGUGAUGCAGAGCUGAACAUCUGCCACCAUCUGGCAAAACACAACAACAAUCUACAGUCAAAAUCAGGGCCCCAACUAACCAGUUCAGGCAUGGGAAAUGCUCACACACCCAGAAGAGGUGCUGCAAGCAGCAGGACAGUAAAGUUUCAUAAGUAUAUGGAAUGUUAUUUGUUAGAAUACUGAGAAAGAAAGGUGUAAAUGUUAGAUUCCUAUCUGCCGUACUAGAGACGAAUAGGACAAACAUUAGUAGCAUACACCCUCCAACUCCUGCUGCAGAAACCAAAGAUCUUCGUGUGCCCAUGCUGUCACUGGUGGCUGCUGACACUGUGUAAUUGUACACAUGUAGCAGAGGAGAGUGCACUGACCCGUUUACCUGGAUGACCCUGAAAUCCCACCAAGCUACCAUUUCUGCUACACAUGGCAAUGCUGACAGGUGUCCACAGACCUGCUCUAGAGCUUUUAUCAGCAGCCAUCAAAGCAUGCAGCACUUCAUCUCUGUGUACCUCAAGCUGGUUUCUCUGCUCAGUGUUCGGUUCUCAUUCAGAUUCUGCUAGGGGCUGCCCAACGUGCUGCUAUCAACUUCAAAGUUCAGUCCUCAUCUGAAUGUAAUGUUUUUACUAUAGCUAUAGGCUUCCUUUCAGCAGAGACUCAAAUUGCUCCAGUUUGUGUACUGCGUUUGUAAUGCACAAGAACAGGCUAAGUUAAACACCGGUUAAAUUCAUUUCUACCUAUGGCUUUAGCAGAGGUCUGUGCCCGUCUGCCUACUAUGGAAAGCAAAUCUCCUAACACAGUGUGUGGCCAAACUUGUCCAUUGGGCCUCCUAUUCCCAGACAUUCAGCAUCAGUUUCAAGACUAACAAAUAAAGUGCAGUAGUACAGAACUUCCAAGGUGGAAAAAUUGAAUGAGUAGCUACUGCAGGGACAAUCUUAAGCUUUCUGACGUGGACUCCACACUGAAGUAAGCUAUAUUCAGAGAAAGCCAUUGAAAAUAAAGCCCCAAAGGUAAUGCUUCAAAGAAGCAAAAUCAACAUCACCAAUAUGCCUAGAGAAAUGGAGAUCUCUCUCAGGGGUGAAUGCAGCUACAGCACCUGAGAUAUAACCCACACUGUUCGCAGACUGUCGGCACUCCACCUAGCUCCUCUUUUUGAAGUCCUCUUCAUCUCUGCUCUCUACAGCUGACAGUGCAAUAAGCAUUUGAGCUGCAUAGUAAGUAGCCAUGAUGAUAACACGCGAGUAGGGUACAGGAAAGCAGAACUUGUUAACUGCGAUGGUCAGAUCCGACACCAUGAAAAGCAUUGCUCCAAUGCAGGCCGAGAGCUUGGUCCAUGUCCAGAGGUCAUUGCACAGCUGCAUGCCAGCGACCGCUCGCCAGCCCAUGAAGCCAAUCAAGGCGAUGUAGACAGCUACCAGGUAGGUGAAUGGGCCCGAGAGGUAGGAGUACAGGAAGGCAUAACAGGAACUGGAAAUGAGGCCCAUCAUCAAGCCGGCUUUCAGGUCCAAAGGCUUCAUGCCAAAGGCUGAGGAGUACAGGAUGUGUGUGAUGGCAAACAUCAGCAGACCUGGAAAGAGGCAUUGACAGUGACUGGCAGCCAGUAGCAAAAGAAAACAUGGAUACAAUGGAUUUGAAACAUACAGAAGUUACUCCAGGUAUAGAUGUCCUUGUGUUACAACCCCCAUUUGAUUUAAUCAGGCACCAUACUGAGCACUUGAAAUUAUUUUAAUAUAAAAAAAUAUGCAUGGGAGAUUGACUUUAGCACCAGGUUCCUGCCCUAAGAAAGAGCCUUGGUACUUCUACACCUGCAGCUGAGUGCGACUCUGUUGUGAUGUGCACCUGUUGCCGAGAGGCCUGGUGAGCCAAGCUGCUGCAGAAAGAACAAAGACUGUUUCUCAGAUAACUCCUCCUCUGCUCUGGACAGAAAGCUGGGGGCAAGGCAGAGCAAAGAUAAUCACCUCUAAUUAUCUAUCAUCUGAACCAUUUCACUCCCAGGUCAAUUGGAACAGGAAUGUUGGAAUCAGAGCCAUGUCAGAACAAAAUGUGAUAAGAUUGUGAUCCUUCUGAAUCUAGAUAGAAAAUCUAAUCAUAUUUAGCCCCAAACCCAAAAGAACUCAGGGACUGCAUCUGGCUUUUACUCCGUCUCUGCACAUAGCUAGGAGAAACCUAAGCUGGAAGAAGCAGCUGACAUAUUUCAGGGACUAUACCAAUAUGAUCUGCCAACAAUGUUACAGCUAUUUGCAAGCUUCAUAUGAACCUUAGCUGGAAUCAAUCAGUGAAAAUAAAAUGCUAGCUUCCAUUUGAAGUGCAACACGCCUGAGGAAUCCCAUAUAGAAGGUACUGUCGUUGUGUUAAUCACUUGCCACUAACCCAUUUGGCAAAAAAUGUCAUCAUGUUUUGGUACAGCUGCUGACUACUACUUGCACAUGGUAGGCCCUAAACCCAUGUAAGAAAUGGGGAAAAUGAUCUGGGAAGAUAAGUCCUCCAGCAGGACACCUGUUUGUGUUUUAAAGCCCAGUGCUGUGGUACAAAGGUAACUGCUAGGUCCUGCUGCUGGCAGACAUCUCCUCAUUCCGAUACUCCCUGAGGCAGCUAAAAGGAGAAGCAUCUCCCAGCCUUUGGGAUCAGCAUCCACUCAGCCAUUGUGGGAUGACAGGGGAACCCACGGGAGGGAGAGGGAUAGUGAGAUUUAGUCUGCAAGGGGAGGAAAUGGACAGUGGGAAGGAGAAGGAAUUGCAAAGCAGGGCAACAAGAAGUUGAUAUUUCACAGUUUUCAUGUGUGUAGCACUGAGAGAUAAGGGAUUUAGGAUGAGAAGUGUUUAUAGUGCAGGAAAGGUUAGAGCCAUGGAGUGGUCAGGAAGGGAAGGUUAUUUUGUUCUAGCUAUGAGGAAUGAUUUCUCUUUCAGUGGCAUUGUGUGGAAAGUGCUGGAAUGGGGAACUGAAGAAUGAGUUGUCCUUCGUGUAGGCAGCCAGCAGCAAGGCAGAAGAGAGAAGAACAAGAUACAGCAGCCAAACAGAAACCCAGAAAGGCAGGAGGAGUUCUGUGAUACAUGGUGAGGUCAUGAGAGUCAGCUCUGAGUUUUUCUCAUUCAGCACCCACAAAUAAAGCCAAGAAAAAGAGAAACCUGUGAAAGAUGCACAGAGAGCAUGGUGCAGUUUUCUUGCAUUUCUCAGCCUUUGGCUCAGCCCUCCAAUCACACCAGGCAAAUCAGCCUUUUCUAUCUGUCUGCUUACUUCCACUCUCUGCCUUAUUCUGGGCCAGAUGGAAUCAGGGAGCCCAGGUUUUCUUCCCACUUCCCCUGCCCUGGAGUUGCUGCUCAGGCUGGCAGUAAGUCCUUUCUGUAAGAUCCCAUCUUCUUUACUAAAUGCAUAAUUUUUCUGAUCUCCCAUUAUCAAAGGACACAAGUGUUAACACUGUAAAGUAUUUUCCACAUGCAGGAAGACACUAGUCAGAAAAUAGCUUGCUUUUAGUAGACAAAAAUGAAGUGUGAAGUGUGCCAGGGGUAGGUUCCCAGGCUCUCACCUCCCUGUAAAAUAAUGAACAAAUGUCUUUUUAUAAAAUCGUUGUCUCAAAAGCUAUUCAACUUAACUCUGAUCUCAACCUUUUUUUCUGCCUGAAAGCCAUAGAAAUUGAAGAGAAAGUACAUUACUCUCUAGUAAUUCCUUUCAUUCCCCUGAAAUUUGAAAUUCCCACAAGGGACGAUGUCAAAAGUUUGGAUGUUGUCAGUUGUCAACAACAGCAGCUUGCUGUGCUUAGGAGAAAAUACGUUCUGCAGGAAAAGUGACAGGAUAAGUGGGGUGGUGCACUUUAUUUGCUGACAGCUGAAAUGCAAAUGUUAACACUUCACUACAGAAGGCAGUAGCUCAGAUUAGUACAGAGUGAGGCAGACAAGAGAAAGCCAAGGAUCCAGGCUGAGAUUCUCAAAAUGCUCCAAGAGAGCUAAACAAGCAUUCUCCUUAAAUCAAGAAGAAAAAUUAGUCAAACCCCACAAACUGGGGUAAAAAUUCCUGCUGAUUUGCAGAUUAAAACACUUGAACUCAACACUGAAUUGCUGUGACAGGUUGACCUUCUUCUAUCAUUAAAUCAAAUAAGUGACUCAGAGAUAUCCCAACUACGUGGGAAUGGGGAACUUAUGCACAGUCCAUGUACAAAAACGGUCACAGUGAGAAUCAGGUCUUGAAUGUUUUCCAAGCCACAGCUCAAGAAGCAAUGACAGGAGGCAAAACAGAAGCAUGGGCAGCUGGACCAGGCUAACUUGUGCAGAGCCAUGCAUUCCUGUUAAGAGGAGGCCUGUCAGUGGGAGUGCCAACACUCAGCACAUAGUGAAUGGCAACCCAAGAGAUAGUUGGACCUUCUAAGAAACAUGCCCUGAAUUCAGCCAAACAGAUCCAGCCCCCGAGGCCUAAUAUACCUCACCAAAAUCUUAGGAGUUUUUACAGGAACUUUUAAUGAGCUUUGGAUAAACCCUUGGGAAGCAGGAUUAAAACCAGAAUCAAAGUAUUUGGCUUUUCAUAUCUAGCAUUUCACAUACUUUCCUCUCAUAAAGAAAGCAGAGGUUGUUGGAAUUCCAGAAUAAAACUAAAUACUGAUUUCAUACAAGGAGUAAAAAAUAAGCCUUUGACUUUCAUAGAAGUCAGAAAAGUUCCCCCAUCUCAUCAUGUUUUCCAAUGGGACAGUCACAGCAGCCAGCUAAUGGUGGGUGUUAAAUGAGAUCCCUUUGCUGGUGAAGUUGACUUCACAAACGCCACCAAUGCAGUGAAGUGAAGGACUUAACUGCUGCUGAUUUCUUAUGACAAUCCAAGGCCAUGGCAAGUGUUGCUGCAGGCGGCCUCAACGUGGCUUUAAAUCAUUAAUCUAAACCAUUAUGUUCUAGUCUGCAAAACAGUGAAAUAAAAUAAGCUUGUUUUGCUUUGAGAGAUGUAGAUCUUUCUGUAGAGAUGACAGGGUGUCAUGGUAAGGUUUGCCCUUGAUUCCCUAUAAUUUACAAGUCUUGCAAAACCAGUUCCUAUGUUUUUACAACAGGCUGCAUGAUUCAUGCUGAUGAACCUGAAAGUAGGACAAGAUUCCUGAUGAUUUGCUUUCUGACAUCCAUUUAAACACCUCCCCCUGGCUGCGGACUUGUCUUCUGCAACUUAAAGAUCGUCUCUACCUUCUCUCCACUAAGGGCCUUUGCCUCGUGUGUCUUACUUCUGCAUCCUUGUAGAGAAGGGCUGACAGAUCUCCCUGAGGAGAGGCAGGAGGUAGAUACUUCCUGCAGCUUCAUGGGAGAUGCUGAGUGCUGUGAGUUUCCUCCUCUUCCCAGGACAUUCUACCCAUGCCACUUUCCCAACUGCAGCCAGAUGAGACACUACAAGCAUGUGCCAAUUAACCAAACCUGUCUUAAUGACCUCUCUGACUUCAGAACACUUCAAGAGAACUUCAAGAGUCUCAUCAAUGAUGUGACUCCUCUAACUGCAAUGGAUCUUAGUCUAGGGAUGACUAUCUCACACUACCAGGCACUUAAGCUGUACAUGAGUAAAAAAAAACAAAAACAAAAAACAUGUGGCAAGCAACUCACUACUAAAUAAACAGUGUAACAGCUGGGCACUGUGGCAACCCUUCAGAACUCACACCAUACUCACCAUGAAUGAAGUAGCCUUGCUCUUGCCAGAUGAGAAAGGCAUCUCCCACUGCUGAGAAUAUCAGUCCUGCUAGGAUGCGGCUGGCACUGCGGUGUGCCACUAAAAAGUUAAUUCCAUGAGCCAGAAGGAAAACCCACAGGCAGAAGAUGGGCAAACAUUUGAUGAGGGCACUGAACCAGGAAGGGCUGGAUGUUGGCAACCAGAGGACAAAAUAGACACAAGUCGCUUUAAAGAAGGGCACCAGUUUGGGGCCUUCACUCUUCACCUAAAGAAACAAACAUUGAAAAAAGAGAAAUUAACAGGACCAUCAGAAGCAUCAAUGGACUAAUCUGUAAAACAGAACUGUUUCCUUCACUCUGAAAGCUUUUCCUUCUUGUAGACAGUCAGCUAUCAGCAUUUCUACCUCAGAAAAAAAGGCUGCUUGAACUUAAUCAUCAUCUUCAACUUAGACCUUGGUAAACAUCUUCUGAGCUUCUUGGCUGCCAGAAUGGAGAUAAGGGAAAUUUUAGAUACUUUUUAUCAAUUCUGUUUAAAAACUUUUAGUCAAACCCCAUUAGUGGUCUUGUGUUUAGACUAACCCCUUUAAUACACAUCUUUUCCUGUAGCUGAGAAUAUCCUGCACUCCCCAGGAGUGCCACAGCAGCAAGCAAGCCAAUAAAAGCAGUCUUCCCUCCAAGGUUGGUGUAUCCUCUUGUUUAGCCAGCUGCAGAUCACCUUGGGGAUACAAACUCUCUUCUAACCCAUUCUCUCUCCCGCCCUGUAGGCUCAUGCCUGGAGCUUGCUACCACCACAUGACUUCAAAACCCAUCGCAUCAGCCUCCAAGUUGCAGAGAUGGUAGCACCUCCGGCAAGAUCCCCACCUCUGUCCUGCCAGCCAAGGAUCUCCGCUACACCAUAAAGAGCCUGAGACCUUCAGGAUGGAAGACUAACUGCUUCCAAAGAUAGAAAGGAUUUUCAGCAUCCACAGUGCUCCAGAUCCCUGUAACAGUCUCAGCUAAGACAGUGACUCCCUGCUUCUACCCAUGGGUGACAAAGGCUGUUCCUGGCAGGGCACCUUGCAGAGGAAGGCACCAAGGCUUCAAUUUGCUUGAUGCAGCCAAAGCAACACCUUCUCCAGUCCAGCAGCCUCCAUCUAAAGAGGCAAGUACGUCAGAGGAUGAAAGGGAAGGGAUCGGAAUUGUCCAUAUAUGGCUUCUGGGCAAAAUCAAAUCAGGCUGUGCUAGGCCAAGUAAGAGCCAGGUGUGGAGAGAGGGUGUUACAGGGAUGAGAGCACCACUUAAUGACUUUGUAUGUCCCAUUCCAUUUUCCCCAAGGUGAUGUGCGAAGACCUAUGCUUAGUUCAGCCCUCACUUCAUUUAAGGGGAAAGGUGUGGUGUGUCUCUCUGAGCCUGUAGCAUCACAUAAGUGCAGGAGUGGCUGCACAUCUCCAGGUUCACCUACUCUGCAUUUGCAGUCCCUACAGUUCUGGCACAUGCUGGAGAGAAGUCCUUAGGGCAAGGCAAUCUUGCACAGCUUAACGCUCACAACUCUUUACCCACUAAGGAGAAAAAAACUAGAACAAAAAUUACUAAUGAGGCAGUCUCAGGAAGAACUUUUAUUAAAAUAGGACCGGUGAUGAGUGAACAAGAAGAGAAUUAAACCUCGCAUAUCUCUAAAGCAAAUGUGUUGCUUACUAAAACUGCCCUCCAACCUCAACCUUUCAGCCCACUCGCCUUUAGGCAGCAAAAAAGCAGCUCCUAACCAGAGCAAUAUCAGCAAUAACAGUUUGUAAGCAGGAUGCUCCUGCUUGCCUAGCAGAAUAAGCAGAAGCUGUCCUCCAAGGUGACUUCCAGCCAGAGCAAGCACUGCUCACCAGCUGGAGCAGGACCGGCAGACACACUCAUUUUUACUGCCACAGCCUAACUCUGUCCAAGUCUGGACUCCAGCACCACCAGGACUCUGGAACAUUACCCUGCUGAGUGCCUGGAACAAUACAUUAAAAGCUGUUUGGGCCAUAGACUUCUGUAUUUGUGGGCACUCCCCCCUCGGCACGUCUGUGUUGUGCAGCACCAGAGACAACAGCUCCGCACAAUGCUGCGGACAUGCCAAACCCCCAGGGCCAUGAUGCACACCUGGCAGCCAGCACUACCAAGCAGUACUAACCGUCACAUCUCCCAGCCUCCUCUCCAUGGUUCAUACCUCCGUGCAUGGUUUCUUCUAGCUGUCAUCUGUGCAGCAGACCUGGAACUCAGUGUUUUAAGUAAACCAUCAUGUUUCUUGCGAGACUGUCUUAGUAGGGGUGAUGCGAGAGAUCAGGCUGUGCCUAAGUAGUCCGGGCCAUCUGCUGCUGUUAUGCAAAGACCAUAGCUUUGAAAACUGGAAAGAAAACCAUGGUACUCCUGGCGGUGUUCUUCUAGUGUCUUCCCUGUUCAUGCUGAUGCUGCAGGACAUCAGGAGAAAACAUGCACUGUAGACAAGUGAAUUCACCUGGCUAAUUUGAUUAUGCCUCGGGUGCUGCCCUUAACAUUGUCCCUAUCAGAGGCAGAACAGAUAGUCACACUGUCUCCAAACACCUGAUCUAUCUAUGCAGCAAAAGGCAGCACUGCAAAGAUAAGGCUUGGGCCCCAAGGAUAGCACUUCACUGUGGUCAGACUGAUUGCCCACUGCUGUUCCCUUCAGCACCCAACUGGUUGGAGGAAGUCCACCGGUCCUGCAGUCCACACUCAGUCCUUCUCACCCCAUAUGCAGCUCCACUUGCAGCUGUGCAGUGGCCGUGCCAUGCUCCCAGGCAGCAGAGAAUGCUGUUCCAGCCUGCCCAUUGUGGCUGCAGCACAGCAAAUGGCAGAGCCAUUCCGCAUGCUCCAUCAGGAGAAGAGCAAUGUGAAAAUGCACCAAAGGUGAUGUGCAAAGAACUGCUCCUUGACACACUGAAGGCUGUCAGCCCUGUGCUGUGAUCUCUCUGAAGGAUUAGACCAGUGCUUGCUGAAGCUGAAGACCAGCUUGCUGAUAGCUGUGAUAAACAGCUGCAGCUCCAGCCACAGCUCCUGGUGUCAUCAUUUCUCCAGCAAUCUGCAGCCUUACGCCUGUGUUAGCUGCCUUUGGUGAAGCAAAGGGUCGGUAUGUCAGGGAUGAAGCCAGAGCAGAAACGUCUGUUGUUAGAUGACAAAGAGCAAGUAAAGAAAACACUUUUCAUGUGCCACCCUGAGUUACCUUAUGAAAGAGUAGUUCCUGGUAUAGGUGAAGCCUUCUUAAAUUACGUACAGCCUUCCCAGGGCAUAGUCAUGUGGUAAUCAUUUGCUGCAAGACCACCCCUAUUAACCAGCCCUGGGAGCCAAGUACUAUCUCCUCUCAAUUACAAAACAAACUGCCAGCUUUUAGCUAUUCCAACAUUGUCCCAGGGAAAUAUUUCAUUUCCAGGGCACAAGUGCACAGCUCACUGUAACCAAAGCAUUACCUAGAUGAAUUUAGCUUAUGGCACAGCAGCACUAAGAUACUAGGCCUCUUCAGUUAUUUCUGAAAAGCACAAGGAAAAAAUAAUAAGUCAUUUGACCUUAGAAUAGUGUAACAUACAGGCUACUUCCCUCUGUCUCUAAAGAUAAAAAUCAUCCCUAGGCUGCUGAUGAACUUACCAGGUAUGUGGUAAUGACUGGGGGAAAAUUCAUCUGAGCAAUGUCACAAUGUGAGCUGCUGCACAGCACUGGCAAAGGAGUGCAAAAGUUUUGAACCCUGGCUCUGUGAGUUAGAGAUGGGGGGGAGAACAGGACUGCUACCCUUCUGUCUAUGAGACAGAACAUGGAGGGGUGCCGGGGAUCUGGACUAGCCAUCAACCACAACUUUUCACAUCAGGAUGAUGACAGACGCACAAGGAACCGGGAUACCGAACAUAGGUGUUUGGUGCUGAGAGGAAAGCACCGCCCGUCAACUCUACUGACAGCCAGCUCUUCUUAGCGCACCCAGUGGGCUGCUGCUGCAUUCAGCCAAAUCCCUCGCUUUCUAGAAACAGGAGCAUGCAAAGCAGCGUGUGACUGCACAGCUUCUCAGCUGUUCUGCUGAGCGCUUUGUCUUUUUCCAGCAUCCCCUCCACCCGCGGGGUCAGGACCCGGCACCACACGUCCUCCACGAAGGACAGCAGCGAGCUGCCGUUUACGUUACACUAAUUAAGCUUCACGACUCCCCGUGGGACAGGCAGGUGACACCAUCCCUGCCUCACCACCGCUGCGCGGAGGCAGCGCCAGACCGGCUCCUAAGGCAGACCCGAGCGGACGGCAAAGCACCGUCCGGCUCCGCGUGCAGCGCCGGUCGAGCUGCCAAGCUGCCAGCUGAGCACGUCCGGGCAGGAGGGGGUGAAGCCUCGGGGACAGGAGGCAUAGAGGGCACGGGGCUACACUAGAGCCCGGGGAAGCGGCCACACGGAGUGCAGCGAGGCCUUGGGGCAGGUGGGCGAGCCCAGGCGGACGUAAACAGCAGCGCUCCGAGCAGACACAUCGCACACAACGCAGAUCCACCAUACAGAUGUUUACAAAAAUAACAGGAGGAAGAGG